rnacentral:rRNA from 1 species
AGCGAACGCUGGCGGCAGGCCUAACACAUGCAAGUCGAACGAACUCUUCGGAGUUAGUGGCGGACGGGUGAGUAACACGUGGGAACGUGCCUUUUGGUUCGGAAUAACUCAGGGAAACUUGUGCUAAUACCGAAUGUGCCCUUCGGGGGAAAGAUUUAUCGCCAUUAGAGCGGCCCGCGUCUGAUUAGCUAGUUGGUGAGGUAACGGUUCACCAAGGCGACGAUCAGUAGCUGGUCUGAGAGGAUGACCAGCCACACUGGGACUGAGACACGGCCCAGACUCCUACGGGAGGCAGCAGUGGGGAAUCUUGCGCAAUGGGCGAAAGCCUGACGCAGCCAUGCCGCGUGAAUGAUGAAGGUCUUAGGAUUGUAAAAUUCUCUCACCGGGGACGAUAAUGACGGUACCCGGAGAAGAAGCCCCGGCUAACUUCGUG